rnacentral:rRNA from 1 species
GGAUUAGGUAGUUGGUGGGGUACGGCCCACCCAAGCCUAAGAUCCGUACGGGCUGUGGGAGCAGGAGCCCGGAGAUGGACCCUGAGACAAGGGUCCAGGCCCUACGGGGCGCAGCAGGCGCGAAACCUCCGCAAUGCGGGAAACCGCGACGGGGUUAGCCGGAGUGCCCGUGCAUUGCACGGGCUGUCGGGGUGCCUAAACAGCACCCCAUAGCAAGGGCCGGGCAAGGCCGGUGGCAGCCGCCGCGGUAAGACCGGCGGCCCGAGUGGCGGCCACUCUUAUUGGGCCUAAAGCGUCCGUAGCCGGCCCAGUAAGUCCCCCGGGAAAUCUGGUCGCUUAACGAUCAGACUUCCGGGGGAUACUGCUGGGCUAGGGACCGGGAGAGGCCGAGGGUAUUCCCGGGGUAGGGGUGAAAUCCUGUAAUCCCGGGAGGACCACCUGUGGCGAAGGCGCUCGGCUGGAACGGGUCCGACGGUGAGGGACGAAGGCCUGGGGAGCGAACCGGAUUAGAUACCCGGGUAGUCCAGGCUGUAAACGAUGCGGGCUAGGUGUCACCGGAGCUACGAGCUCCGGUGGUGCCGGAGGGAAGCCGUUAAGCCCGCCGCCUGGGAAGUACGGCCGCAAGGCUGAAACUUAAAGGAAUUGACGG